UCUUAUGAAUGAGCAAACAAAGAAGUUUCUUGAUAUGGAAUCUACUCUGGUGGAGAUGCUGUGAA
rnacentral:pre_miRNA from 1 species